rnacentral:misc_RNA from 1 species
CAUGUUCCACCCAGCCGCUCCUUCCUCUCUCCGCAAGUCCUCCGACCUCCUCGCCUCCUCCGGCGACUUUCUUCGCCUCUGGGAAGUCCGUGAAAGCUCCGUUGAACCCAUCUCCGUCCUUAAUAAUAGCAAGACCAGCGAAUUUUUUGCUCCGUUGACGUCUUUUGAUUGGAACGAGAUCGAGCCCAAGAGAAUUGGGACUUGCAGCAUUGAUACGACAUGUACUAUUUGGGAUAUUGAAAGGGGUGCUGUUGAAACCCAGCUAAUUGCCCAUGAUAAGGAGGUUCACGACAUUGCUUGGGGAGAAGCAAGGGUUUUUGCUUCGGUUUCU